AUUGAACGCUGGCGGCAGGCCUAACACAUGCAAGUCGAACGAGUGGCGGACGGGUGAGUAACGUUUGGGAACUCACCUUAUGGAGGGGGAUAACUACGGGAAACUGUAGCUAAUACCGCGUACCAUAGGAUGAGACCAGGUGGGAUUAGGUAGUUGGUGAGGUAAAGGCUCACCAAGUCGACGAUCUCUAGCUGGUCUGAGAGGAUGACCAGCCACACUGGGACUGAGACACGGCCCAGACUCCUACGGGAGGCAGCAGUGGGGAAUAUUCCGCAAUGGGGGCAACCUGACGGAGCCAUGCCGCGUGAAUGAAGAAGGCCUUCGGGUUGUAAAGUUCUUUCGGUAGCGAAGCGUUAACUACACAGAAAGCACCGGCUAACUCCGUGCCAGCAGCCGCGGUAAUAC
rnacentral:rRNA from 1 species